UACGAAAGGGGCUAGCGUUGCUCGGAUUUACUGGGCGUAAAGGGCGCGUAGGCGGACAGUUUAGUCAGAGGUGAAAGCCCAGGGCUCAACCUUGGAAUUGCCUUUGAUACUGGCUGUCUUGAGUACGGGAGAGGUGAGUGGAACUCCGAGUGUAGAGGUGAAAUUCGUAGAUAUUCGGAAGAACACCAGUGGCGAAGGCGACUCACUGGCCCGUUACUGACGCUGAGGCGCGAAAGGCGUGGGGAGCAAACAGG
rnacentral:rRNA from 1 species